rnacentral:rRNA from 1 species
UGAGGAAUAUUGGUCAAUGGGCGAGAGCCUGAACCAGCCAAGUCGCGUGAGGGAAGACGGUCCUAUGGAUUGUAAACCUCUUUUGCCGGGGAGCAAGAAGAUCACGUGUGAUCUCAGGCGAGAGUACCCGGAGAAAAAGCAUCGGCUAACUCCGUGCCAGCAGCCGCGGUAAUACGGAGGAUGCGAGCGUUAUCCGGAUUUAUUGGGUUUAAAGGGUGCGUAGGCGGACUUUUAAGUCAGCGGUAAAAUUGAGGGGCUCAACCCCUUCUCGCCGUUGAAACUGGGAGUCUUGAGUGGGCGAGAAGUAUGCGGAAUGCGUGGUGUAGCGGUGAAAUGCAUAGAUAUCACGCAGAACCCCGAUUGCGAAGGCAGCAUACCGGCGCCCAACUGACGCUGAAGCACGAAAGCGUGGGGAUCAAACAGGAUUAAUACC